rnacentral:rRNA from 1 species
UACAGAGGUCUCAAGCGUUGUUCGGAUUCAUUGGGCGUAAAGGGCGCGUAGGUGGCUGCGUAAGUCGGGUGUGAAAUCCCGGGGCUCAACCCCGGAACUGCACUCGAUACUGCGUGGCUUGAGUACUGGAGAGGAGAUUGGAAUUUACGGUGUAGCAGUGAAAUGCGUAGAUAUCGUAAGGAAGACCAGUGGCGAAGGCGGAUCUCUGGACAGUUACUGACACUGAGGCACGAAGGCCAGGGUAGCAAACGGG